GACGAACGCUGGCGGCGUGCUUAACACAUGCAAGUGGAGCGACGAACCAGGCUUCGGCCUGGGGCAAAGCCGCGAACGGGUGAGUAACACGUGGGUAACCUGCCCCGAUGACCGGGACAACCCGAGGAAACUCGGGCUAAUACCGGAUGUGGUCACCUCACAUAAGUGAGAUGACUAAAGAUAGCUUCGGCCUUCGCAUCGGGAUGGGCCCGCGGCGCAUUAGCUUGUUGGUGGGGAAAGGCCUACCAAGGCGACGAUGCGUAGCUGGUCUGAGAGGACGAUCAGCCACACUGGGACUGAGACACGGCCCAGACUCCUACGGAGGCAGCAGUGGGAAUCUUGCGCAAUGCGCGAAAGCGUGACGCAGCAACGCCGCGUGGGGAAG
rnacentral:rRNA from 1 species